AUUGAACGCUGGCGGCAGGCCUAACACAUGCAAGUCGAACGAGUGGCGGACGGGUGAGUAAUGUCUGGGAAACUGCCUGAUGGCGGGGGAUAACUACUGGAAACGGUAGCUAAUACCGCAUACCAUCAGAUGUGCCCAGAUGGGAUUAGCUUGUUGGUGGGGUAACGGCUCCCCAAGGCGACGAUCCCUAGCUGGUCUGAGAGGAUGACCAGUCAAAUGGGAACUGGGACACGGUCCAGAAUCCUAAGGGAGGUAGCAGUGGGGAAUAUUGAACAAUGGGGGCAAGCCUGAGGCAGCCAUGCCGGGUGUAUGAAGAAGGCCUUCGGGUUGUAAAGUACUUUCAGCGGGGAGGCGUUACCCGCAGAAGAAGCACCGGCUAAAUCCGUGCCAGCAGCCGCGGGAAUUC
rnacentral:rRNA from 1 species